UAGAUUAUAACACUGGCAUCCUAUGAACAGUUAGCGGCGGACGGGUGAGUAACACGUGGGCAACCUGCCUGUAAGACUGGGAUAACUUCGGGAAACCGAAGCUAAUACCGGAUAGGAUCUUCUCCUUCAUGGGAGAUGAUUGAAAGAUGGUUUCGGCUAUCACUUACAGAUGGGCCCGCGGUGCAUUAGCUAGUUGGUGAGGUAACGGCUCACCAAGGCAACGAUGCAUAGCCGACCUGAGAGGGUGAUCGGCCACACUGGGACUGAGACACGGCCCAGACUCCUACGGGAGGCAGCAGUAGGGAAUCUUCCGCAAUGGACGAAAGUCUGACGGAGCAACGCCGCGUGAGUGAUGAAGGCUUUCGGGUCGUAAAACUCUGUUGUUAGGGAAGAACAAGUACAAGAGUAACUGCUUGUACCUUGACGGUACCUAACCAGAAAGCCACGGCUAACUACGUGCCAGCAGCCGCGGUAAUACGUAGGUGGCAAGCGUUAUCCGGAAUUAUUGGGCGUAAAGCGCGCGCAGGCGGUUUCUUAAGUCUGAUGUGAAAGCCCACGGCUCAACCGUGGAGGGUCAUUGGAAACUGGGGAACUUGAGUGCAGAAGAGAAAAGCGGAAUUCCACGUGUAGCGGUGAAAUGCGUAGAGAUGUGGAGGAACACCAGUGGCGAAGGCGGCUUUUUGGUCUGUAACUGACGCUGAGGCGCGAAAGCGUGGGGAGCAAACAGGAUUAGAUACCUG
rnacentral:rRNA from 1 species